AGUUGCCUGGUGUCCAUUGUUGUGGGUGUGUCUGAGCAGUACCAGCAGCAUAAAGUGGCCCAGGUGGGAGGAGUGGGAGCGAUCAGAGCCCCAUGGCUGACUCCACUCUACCCCCCUCACUGCCCUGUGGCCUUAUCAAUGCUGCCAACCGGUACCUGAGCGCCGAACCCUUCCGCUUCCAGGUGGUGGCCACGGGCUCGGUGCUGCGGCUCCGCCAGGUCUGGAUGCUGCGCUUCAUGCCCUCACAGGGAGCCGGGGCUGCCGGGCAGGCCGAGGAGAGCGGGCAGAGGCUGCAUCUGCUCAGCUCCCUGCAGCGCUUCCUGGCGGCCGAUCCCAACGGCAAAGUCACCUGUGACCAGGAGAGCCCGGGCCCGGGUGCCCUCUUCCUGCUGCGGCAAUACCCAGACGGCAAGGUGUCCCUGCAGUGCGAGCUCUCCCAGCGCUACCUGGGUGGGGCCGAGGACAACGUCACCUGCUUUGCCCAGACGGUGAGCGAGGGCGAGAAGUGGAGCCUGCACCUGGCCCAGCACCCCAACGGGCACAUGCUGAACCUCGGCAAGCAGCGCUACAUGCGCUGUGACCAGCAGACCGGGCACAUGCGCUGCGACCGCGAUCUGCCCUGGGGGCCCGAGGCCGUCAUCACCCUCCACUUCGACCUCAAAGAGAGGAAGUAUGGGCUGUGGAGCGGGGCUGGGAGCCUGCUGGCUGCCGACGGCUCACUACAGGCCGAGCUGUCCCCUCAAACGCUUUACUCCCUGGAGCUGCGGGGUGGCCUGCUGGCCCUGCGGGACGCAGAUGGCAGGUACCUGACCGGGCGGGAGAACACCGUCAAGACCUUCAAGACGGACAAGCCAGGGCGCGACGAGUUCUUUGCUCUGGAGCCCAGCGCUGCACAGGUCACGCUGCGCACCUUCACCGGGGGCCACUUUGUCUGCUGCAGGCCGGGGGCUGACAUCUAUGCCAACGCCAUGUCCGUUGGCAACACGGAGAUUUUCCAGCUGCUGCUGAAUGAUGUCACCAAGCAGGCCUGCUUUCGCAGCUCCUCCGGCACCUACCUCGCCGUGGGCCCCAACGACUCUGUGGUGAGCACCAGCGCCCACGACAAGGGAGUCUGGUUCUCACUCCAGUACCGGGAGCAGAGGGUGACACUGCGAAUGGCUGACGGCAGACAAGUGGCCACCAGGCCCAACGGGCAGCUGCUGCUGGUGCCCGAGGCAGCAGGCAAGAAGGAGGAGUUCCUGCUGCUGCUGGUGAACCGGCCCCUGCUGAUCCUGCAGAGCGAGGCUGGCUUCGUGGGGCUGUUCCCCGGGACGCAGCGCCUGGACGGGAACCGGCCAGCCUACGACGCCAGCACCCUGACGCUCAGCGAGGACGGCUUCUGCCACUUCAGAGUCGCCAACAAGUACUGGAGCCUGGACAAGGACGGGCUGGUCAUGGCGAAUGAAGACCACCCCAGCAACUUCUCCCUCCAGUUCGUCUCCUCCAGCUGCCUCGUGCUCAAGGCUCCCAACAAGAAGUACCUGGUGGUGGAGGCGGGGGGCCGCCUGUGGGCAGGGGCCUCAGAUGCAGCCUCUGCCACACCCUUCCGCUACUGAGGGUUGCUAGCCCCUGAAAUAAACUUCUCUUCCACUGUCUCAGCCGCUGCCAGCCUAUUGCUGGGACCCCUCCCCUCUUGCUGCCACCCAGUCAUUGCCCAUCUCUCCUCACUAUCAGUAUCCCUCCUGCUAACUGGAGAGUGUAUCCGGGCUGGGGCAGACAGUGCAGGCUGGCAUGGGCCUGGCCUGCCACCUGGAGCCGGCUGUUGGGAGGAGAUGUGGCCCAUGGGGAGGGAGGCGAGUUAAUGGGGCUUCUCCAAGCCAGAGCAGUGCUAUGUGGAGCAGAGAGCAUUCAUGUGCUCUGAAGUGGGAGCAGGUGGCUGUUGCUGCCCUCUAGUGGACCAGGGACAGAGGUGCCUUCUUGCUGUCCCCUGGGGGAAGCCCUACUCUAAUGAAAAGGCUCCAGGCAGCAGCAGUAGCAGAAAAAUAAAUAUUUAUUGGAAAAUAGUAUUGAUUCGGAGGGUGCGAGAGGAGGGGAAAAAGUGCCACGAGUCACUGCUACAGCAAACAACACUGAAUCUGGGGGAGUGGGCGCAAGCACCUCCCCAUCAGUCACUGCACACAUGCGAUAGACAGGAGCUUUUUAAUACUUACAGGGGGGCCCUGGGUGUCUGCCCCUCCGCCCCCAUGCUGAAAUGGGAGGACACAGCAGGUGCAGGCAUGAUCCCUGGGGGUGUGGUCUGGGCCAGGGGCCACCUGGCCUUGUGUGCGUGGGCUUGGACAAACUCUAAGCCCUGGCUGUAGGGGCCAGAAUGGGAUCCAUGACAGCUCCCAGCAGCCUCUUCCCCCCUUCAUGAGGCGCCAGGUCUGGGAUGCGAGUUACAGUCUCUCUCCAAGUCGCUGGGCACACCAGCGGUGGUUUCCUGCCCAGGAGGGGCUAAUGUGGAAUGAGGCUGUGGCUGGGUCUAGCUCUGCUCCAAGGGGCUGGGACGCUGCCAUCAGACCAGCUGUGGAGGGAGGGAAUGCGUGGCCUCGGUCCCCGGCACUGGGGCAAUGCGUAGCCUUGUCUGGCCCGGAACAGCCUGGAUGGAGCCUUAGUACGAGUCCACCCUAGAGGGAGAUAAACAGGAGAGAGCCUGACCGUCAAUAGCAGCCUCUCCAACCCCACCCUGCACAGGGCUCUGGCUGGGGGGAGCUUCCCUCACAUCCCUGGGCAACCCUAUCACCCCAACUGCUUCCCCACCCUCCCGUGAAUCUGUCCUCGUAGUGGGGAGAGGCAGCCAAUCAGAGGAGAGGAGUGCAGAUGAGGAAACCGAGGCAGGGCAGUCAGGAAUGGCACCCAGGAGUCCUGAUCCCCAGGCAUGUGCAUGAGCCGCUUGCCCAGCUUUUCCUGUUUGUAUCAUCAGCGUUUUCUCUCCCCACUUUCCCUCCCUCACCCUGUCUCCACCACAGCCUCCCUCUUUGCCCAUUACCUAGUUAUUCCCUCAUUUCCACUAGCCCAGGAAUGGUCCAGUCUCCCCCAGUCCCAGUGCUUUUUCACCCCUUGGAUCCUGUCUCCCUCCCCAUCCCAGCUCCUCCCCUGCCCCAUGUUACCCCUCCAGACCCUGCCCACACCUGCUCAGUCUCCCACUGCCUCCCAGUGCUGCUGCUUCUCAGGGCAGGAAGGGGCGGGGGUUGGGUACCUAGAGAAGGAGGCCAGGGUGAGGAUGCCCAGGAGCAGCUCGACGGCGUAGAAGAGCAGCAGGAUGGCAUUGAGGAUGGCCUCCAGCCGCAGGGCGUAGGUCUGCAGCAGCAGGUAAUAAGCUGCCAUCACGGCCGCUGGGAAUGUCAAGGCCAGGCUGAUGGAGAGCGGCACCUUCCGCUGGCACAGGUUCCCCUUGGAGCC